UGGGGAAUUUUGGACAAUGGGCGAAAGCCUGAUCCAGCAAUGCCGCGUGUGUGAAGAAGGCCUUCGGGUUGUAAAGCACUUUUGUCCGGAAAGAAAUCCUUGGCUCUAAUACAGUCGGGGGAUGACGGUACCGGAAGAAUAAGCACCGGCUAACUACGUGCCAGCAGCCGCGGUAAUACGUAGGGUGCAAGCGUUAAUCGGAAUUACUGGGCGUAAAGCGUGCGCAGGCGGUUUGCUAAGACCGAUGUGAAAUCCCCGGGCUCAACCUGGGAACUGCAUUGGUGACUGGCAGGCUAGAGUAUGGCAGAGGGGGGUAGAAUUCCACGUGUAGCAGUGAAAUGCGUAGAGAUGUGGAGGAAUACCGAUGGCGAAGGCAGCCCCCUGGGCCAAUACUGACGCUCAUGCACGAAAGCGUGGGGAGCAAACAGGAUUAGAUACUCUGGUAGUCCACGCCCUAAACGAUGUCAACUAGUUGUUGGGAUUCAUUCUUAGUAACGUAGCUAACGCGUGAAGUUGACCGCCUGGGGAGUACGGUCGCAAGAUUAAAACUCAAA
rnacentral:rRNA from 1 species